CCUACGGGAGGCAGCAGUCGAGAAUCAUUCACAAUGGGGGAAACCCUGAUGGUGCGACGCCGCGUGGGGGAAUGAAGGUCUUCGGAUUGUAAACCCCUGUCAUGUGGGAGCAAAUUAAAAAGAUAGUACCACAAGAGGAAGAGACGGCUAAAUCUGUGCCAGCAGCCGCGGUAAUACAGAGGUCUCAAGCGUUGUUCGGAAUCACUGGGCGUAAAGCGUGCGUAGGCUGUUUCGUAAGUCGUGUGUGAAAGGCGCGGGCUCAACCCGCGGACGGCACAUGAUACUGGGAGACUAGAGUAAUGGAGGGGGAACCGGAAUUCUCGGUGUAGCAGUGAAAUGCGGAGAUAUCGAGAGGAACACUCGGGGCGAAGGCGGGUUCCUGGACAUUAACUGACGCUGAGGCACGAAGGCCAGGGGAGCGAAAGGGAUUAGAUACCCUAGUAGUC
rnacentral:rRNA from 1 species